AUACGGAGGAUCCGAGCGUUAUCCGGAUUUAUUGGGUUUAAAGGGUGCGCAGGCGGCCAUUUAAGUCAGCGGUUAAAUCGUGGGGCUCAACCCCAUUCUGCCGUUGAUACUGGGUGGCUUGAUUGCGGUCGAGGUUGGCGGAAUUCGUUGUGUAGCGGUGAAAUGCAUAGAUAUGACGAAGAACACCGAUUGCGUAGGCAGCUGACCAGACCGCAAAUGACGCUCAUGCACGAAAGUGCGGGGAUCGAACAGGAUUAGAUACCCUGGUAGUCCGCACAGUAAACGAUGAAUACUUGUUUUCGGCGAUAUAAUGUCGGAGGCAAAGCGAAAGCGAUAAGUAUUCCACCUGGGGAGUACGCCGGCAACGGUGAAACUCAAAGGAAUUGGCGGGU
rnacentral:rRNA from 1 species